ACGUAGGUCCCGAGCGUUGUCCGGAUUUAUUGGGCGUAAAGCGAGCGCAGGCGGUUUAAUAAGUCUGAAGUUAAAGGCAGUGGCUUAACCAUUGUUCGCUUUGGAAACUGUUAAACUUGAGUGCAGAAGGGGAGAGUGGAAUUCCAUGUGUAGCGGUGAAAUGCGUAGAUAUAUGGAGGAACACCGGUGGCGAAAGCGGCUCUCUGGUCUGUAACUGACGCUGAGGCUCGAAAGCGUGGGGAGCAAACAG
rnacentral:rRNA from 1 species